GACUUCCAUUAGGAGAUCCUUUAGGCGUCAGCUAUUGGAGCUCUUGCACCCACAAAUGCAUAUGCUACAUGGCACCCAUGAGAUGCCCCAAGCUGGUCCCACAUGCCCUCUAAUGGGCGAGCACGCCCAACUUGAUCAAAUCAAGUGGCGUCCAAUCAAAACUAUCAAGAAAAUUGAUUAAGAGCUUGAAUCCUUAAUUCAUUUAAUCCAAAAUUCUAGACACCCA
rnacentral:lncRNA from 1 species